CCUACGGGAGGCAGCAGUGGGGAAUAUUGCACAAUGGGGGAAACCCUGAUGCAGCGAUGCCGCGUGGAGGAAGAAGGUUUUCGGAUUGUAAACUCCUUUUAUCAGGGACGAUAAUGACGGUACCUGAAGAAAAAGCUCCGGCUAACUACGUGCCAGCAGCCGCGGCAAUACGUAGGGAGCGAGGGUUGUCCGGAAGUACGGGGGGUAAAGGGGGCGUAGGCGGGGCGGAAAGUCAGAUGUGAAAACUGAGGGGUUAACUUUCAGACUGCAUUUGAAACUGCAGGGCUUGAGUGAAGUAGAGGUAAGCGGAAUUCGUGGUGUAGCGGUGAAAUGCGUAGAGAUUAGGAGGAACAUCGGUGGCGAAGGCGGCUUACUGGGCUUAUACUGACGCUGAGGCACGAAAGCGUGGGGAGCAAACAGGAUUAGAUACCCGGGUAGUC
rnacentral:rRNA from 1 species